rnacentral:rRNA from 1 species
GACGAACGCUGGCGGCGUGCCUAAUACAUGCAAGUAGAACGCACAGUUUAUACCGUAGCUUGCUACACCAUAAACUGUGAGUUGCGAACGGGUGAGUAACGCGUAGGUAACCUGCCUGGUAGCGGGGGAUAACUAUUGGAAACGAUAGCUAAUACCGCAUAAUAUUGAUUAUUGCAUGAUAAUUGAUUGAAAGAUGCUAUUGCAUCACUAACAGAUGGACCUGCGUUGUAUUAGCUAGUAGGUGAGGUAACGGCUCACCUAGGCGACGAUACAUAGCCGACCUGAGAGGGUGAUCGGCCACACUGGGACUGAGACACGGCCCAGACUCCUACGGGAGGCAGCAGUAGGGAAUCUUCGGCAAUGGAGGAAAGUCUGACCGAGCAACGCCGCGUGAGUGAAGAAGGUUUUCGGAUCGUAAAGCUCUGUUGUAAGAGAAGAACGGGUGUGAGAGUGGAAAGUUCACACUGUGACGGUAGCUUACCAGAAAGGGACGGCUAACUACGUG